rfam:Herbaspirillum sp. CF444 PMI16_contig_157.157, whole genome shotgun sequence.
AAGCUGAGUAGAAGCGGCUAGCCGUCGAUCCAAAUACCAUCGACUGUGGGGCAUUGCUCGUGAC